rnacentral:tRNA from 1 species
UAACUUUUGGUGUAGGGCACAUUAAAUUUUGAUUUUAAAGGAAAUGAAUCAAUUCAUUGAAGUUAA